AUUGAACGCUGGCGGCAUGCUUUACACAUGCAAGUCGAACGGUAACAGGGUGCUUGCACCGCUGACGAGUGGCGAACGGGUGAGUAAUGCGUCGGAACGCACCGAGUAAUGGGGGAUAACGCAGCGAAAGCUGUGCUAAUACCGCAUACGCUCUGAGGAGGAAAGCGGGGGACCUUCGGGCCUCGCGUUAUUCGAGCGGCCGACGUCUGAUUAGCUAGUAGGUGAGGUAAGAGCUCACCUAGGCGACGAUCAGUAGCGGGUCUGAGAGGAUGAUCCGCCAACCUGGGACUGAGACACGGCCCAGACUCCUACGGGAGGCAGCAGUGGGGAAUGUUGGACAAUGGGCGCAAGCCUGAUCCAGCCAUGCCGCGUGUCUGAAGAAGGCCUUCGGGUUGUAAAGGACUUUUGUCAGGGAGGAAAUCCUUAGCGCUAAUACCGUUGAGGGAUGACAGUACCUGAAGAAUAAGCACCGGCUAACUACGUGCCAGCCGCCGCCGUAA
rnacentral:rRNA from 1 species